CGAAGGGUGCAAACGUUGCUCGGAAUUAUUGGGCGUAAAGCGCACGUAGGCGGCAUUGCAAGUCGGAUGUGAAAUCCCUCGGCUUAACCAAGGAAGUGCAUCCGAAACUGCAGUGCUUGAGUACUUAAGAGGAUCGCGGAAUUCCCGGUGUAGAGGUGAAAUGCGUAGAGAUCGGGAGGAACACCGGCGGCGAAGGCGGCUGCCUGAACAAGUCCUGACGCUGAGGCGCGAAAGCUAGGGGAGCAAACAGGA
rnacentral:rRNA from 1 species